AUACGGAGGAUGCAAGCGUUAUCCGGAUUUAUUGGGUUUAAAGGGCGCGUAGGCGGAUGAUUACGCGUGAGGUGAAAUGCCACUGCUCAACAGCGGAACUGCCUCGCGAACUGGUUGUCUUGAAUGCUUCUGCCGUGGGAGGAAUGUCUGGUGUAGCGGUGAAAUGCAUAGAGAUCACACAGAACACCGAUUGCGAAGGCAUCUCACGCAGGGGUGAGUGACGCUGAGUCACGGAAUGGUGGGGAUCAAGAAGGAUUAGGUUGCCUGGUAGUCGACGCAGUAAACGAUUAUAAAUAGCCGCUGGGUUGUAGUGAUUCAGUGGUCUAGCGAAAGCGAUAAGGGAUCCGCCUGGGGAGUACGGCCGCAAGGUUGAAACUCACAGGAAUUGACGGGG
rnacentral:rRNA from 1 species